rnacentral:rRNA from 1 species
UGAACGCUGGCGGCAUGCCUUACACAUGCAAGUCGAACGGCAGCACGGGGGCAACCCUGGUGCGAGUGGCGGAACGGGUGAGUAACUACAUCGGAACGUGUCCUGUAGUGGGGGGAUAGCCCGGCGAAAGCCGGAUUAAUACCGCAUACGCUCUACGGAGGAAAGGGGGGGGAUCUUAGGACCUCCCGCUACAGGGGCGGCCGAUGGCAGAUUAGCUAGUUGGUGGGGUAAAAGGCCUACCAAGGCGACGAUCUGUAGCUGGUCUGAGAGGACGACCAGCCACACUGGGACUGAGACACGGCCCAGACUCCUACGGGAGGCAGCAGUGGGGAAUUUUGGACAAUGGGGGCAACCCUGAUCCAGCAAUGCCGCGUGUGUG